UACGUAGGGGCCUAGCGUUGUCCGGAUUUAUUGGGCGUAAAGAGCUCGUAGGCGGUUCGGCAAGUCGGAUGUGAAAUCUCCACGCUCAACGUGGAGGGGCCAUUCGAAACUGCCGUGACUCGAGUCCGGUAGGGGAGUGUGGAAUUCCCGGUGUAGCGGUGAAAUGUGUAGAGAUCGGGAGGAACACCGGUGGCGAAGGCGGUCUUCUGGACGGUGACUGACGCUGAGGCGCGAAAGCGUGGGGAGCAAAACGG
rnacentral:rRNA from 1 species